UCUCUUGCGUUUUUAAAGGUUCUUGAGCAGAAAUCCCAUUAUUGUUCAUCUGCUGCUGUUAUCAAUUUGUUCUCACGCACAGCAACCAUUGUUAAUCAUCACCAGCACCAGAAUAACAAGAAUCUAUGGCGAGUGAGGCACCAAGCUGGGCUGAUCAAUGGGCCGGAGGAUUUGGUGCCAUGGAAGAUGAGGACGCCACAGCUAAGAAAGAACGACACCAAGAAACCCAAAGGGAAAGGUGGCUUUAAAACAGCGGCUUUGAAGGGAGCCAACAGCUUCAAGCUUGGCGUUUCCAAGGGCAUAACAUGGAUAAAGAGUAAAUGCCAGAAAAAGCUCCUCCAAAUGAAAAUUAGAAAAAAUUGCAACUGCCAAGGCUUUGAGUUUUGAUCUAUUCCUCAAUUCAUUUGAGGGACUUAUAUUCUCCAAUUUAAUGGCAGCCUUAAAGCAUAAAAAAUAGUUUCAUUG